GAUGAACGCUGGCGGCGUGCCUAAUACAUGCAAGUCGAGCGAACAGAUAAGGAGCUUGCUCCUUUGACGUUAGCGGCGGACGGGUGAGUAACACGUGGAUAACCUACCUAUAAGACUGGGAUAACUUCGGGAAACCGGAUCUAAUACCGGAUAACAUAUUGAACCGCAUGGUUCAAUAGUGAAAGGCGGCUUUGCUGUCACUUAUAGAUGGAUCCGCGCCGUAUUAGCUAGUUGGUAAGGUAACGGCUUACCAAGGCAACGAUACGUAGCCGACCUGAGAGGGUGAUCGGCCACACUGGAACUGAGACACGGUCCAGACUCCUACGGGAGGCAGCAGUAGGGAAUCUUCCGCAAUGGGCGAAAGCCUGACGGAGCAACGCCGCGUGAGUGAUGAAGGUCUUCGGAUCGUAAAACUCUGUUAUCAGGGAAGAACAAAUGUGUAAGUAACUGUGCACAUCUUGACGGUACCUGAUCAGAAAGCCACGGCUAACUACGUG
rnacentral:rRNA from 1 species